rnacentral:rRNA from 1 species
GACGAACGCUGGCGGCGUGCCUAACACAUGCAAGUCGAACGGAAAGGCCCUGCUUUUGUGGGGUGCACGUUUGCGGAACGGGUGAGUAACACGCGAGUAACCCCCCCUUGUCUGUCGGGUAACUUCAGGAAACACGGGCUAAUAUCGGGUAGGAGCUCCUGAUCCACAGGGGGGGAUGGAAAAUUUCGGCUGUUGUGGCUGGUCUCGCGGCUUACGAGCUGGUUGGGCGAGUAGGGGCUUUCCAGGCCUUCGACGGCUAGCCGGCCUGAGAGGGGGACCAGCCACAAUGGUACUAAGAUACGGCCCAGACUGCAACGGGAGGCAGCAGGGGAGAAUAUUGCGCAGUAGGCGGGAGCCUGAUGCGGCGACGCCGCGUGCGGGAUGACGGCCUUCGGGUUAAAAACCGCUUUCGCCUGUGACGAAGCGUGAGUGACGGUAAUGGAUAAAAAAGCACCGGCUAACUACGUG